GUGAGGAAUUUUCCGCAAUGGGCGAAAGCCUGACGGAGCAAUGCCGCGUGAAGGAUGAAGGCCUAUGGGUUGUAAACUUCUUUUCUCAGAAAAGAAUUAUGACGGUAUCUGAGGAAUAAGCAUCGGCUAACUCUGUGCCAGCAGCCGCGGUAAGACAGAGGAUGCAAGCGUUAUCCGGAAUGAUUGGGCGUAAAGCGUCUGUAGGUUGUUUAAAAAGUAUUCUGUCAAAGAUUAGGGCUUAACCCUAGAUAGGCAGAAUAAACUUUUAAGCUAGAGGUUGGUAGAGGCAGAGGGAAUUCCCGGUGGAGCGGUGAAAUGCGUAGAUAUCGGGAGGAACACCAAAGGCGAAGGCACUCUGCUGGGCCAAUACUAACACUGAGAGACGAAAGCGAGGGGAGCAAAUGGGAUUAGAACCCUAGUAGUCC
rnacentral:rRNA from 1 species